rnacentral:rRNA from 1 species
CAUUACCGAGUUUACAACUCCCAAACCCCUGUGAACAUACCUAUAAUUUGCCUCGGCGGACUCAACGACGGUGCUCCGAGAAAUCGGUCGCCGCUCGCUGCCAGAGGAACCCCAAACUCUAUGUAUUCUUGUGGAUCUUCUGAGUAAAACAAAACAAAUAAAUCAAAACUUUCAACAACGGAUCUCUUGGUUCUGGCAUCGAUGAAGAACGCAGCGAAAUGCGAUAAGUAAUGUGAAUUGCAGAAUUCAGUGAAUCAUCGAAUCUUUGAACGCACAUUGCGCCCGCCAGUAUUCUGGCGGGCAUGCCUGUUCGAGCGUCAUUUCAACCCUCAAGCCCCCGGGCUUGGUGUUGGGGAUCGGCGAUAGUCGCCGUCCCCCAAAUCUAGUGGCGGUCUCGCUGUAGCCUCCAUUGCGUAGUAGCUAACACCUCGCAACUGGAACGCGGCGCGGCCAAGCCGUUAAACCCCCAACUUCUGAAUGUUGACCUCGGAUCAGGUAGGAAUACCCGCUGAACUUAAGCAUAUCAA